GACGAACGCUGGCGGCGUGCUUAACACAUGCAAGUCGAACGGAAAGGCCCUGCUUUUGUGGGGUGCUCGAGUGGCGUACGGGUGAGUAACACGUGAGUAACCUGCCCUUGACUUUGGGAUAACUUCAGGAGACUGGGGCUAAUACCGGAUAGGAGCUCCUGCUGCAUGGUGGGGGUUGGAAAGUUUCGGCGGUUGGGGAUGGACUCGCGGCUUAUCAGCUUGUUGGUGGGGUAGUGGCUUACCAAGGCUUUGACGGGUAGCCGGCCUGAGAGGGUGACCGGCCACAUUGGGACUGAGAUACGGCCCAGACUCCUACGGGAGGCAGCAGUGGGGAAUAUUGCACAAUGGGCGGAAGCCUGAUGCAGCAACGCCGCGUGCGGGAUGACGGCCUUCGGGUUGUAAACCGCUUUCGCCUGUGACGAAGCGUGAGUGACGGUAAUGGGUAAAGAAGCACCGGCUAACUACGUG
rnacentral:rRNA from 1 species